rnacentral:rRNA from 1 species
GCUCAGCCGUCAACAAAGACAGUAUAAAACACAAUACUGUUCGCCAGAGAACUACAAGCUAAAACUCAAAACUCCAAGGACUUGGCGGUGCUCCACACCAACCUAGAGGAGCCUGUCCUAUAAUCGAUACCCCCCGAUCUACCUCACCACUUUUUGAAACUCAGCCUAUAUACCGCCGUCGUCAGCCUACCUUAUGAAAGAAGAACAGUAAGCAAAAUAGUCACCAACUAAAACGCCAGGUCAAGGUGUAGCACAUAAAGUGGAAGAGAUGGGCUACACUCUCUACCUCAGAGAACACGAACAGCAUCAAUGAAACACUGCUCAAAGGUGGAUUUAGUAGUAAGAUAAACAAGAGAACUUACCUUAAACCAGCUCUGGAGCGCGC